rnacentral:rRNA from 1 species
CAGUACCGUGAGGGAAAGGUGAAAAGAACCCCGGGAGGGGAGUGAAAUAGUACCUGAAACCUUGUGCUUACAAGCAGUUACAGCCCGUUAAAGGGUGGUAGCGUACUUUUUGUAGAACGGUCCGGCGAGUUAUAGUCACUAGCGAGCUUAAGACAUUCAGUGUUGGAGGCGUAGGGAAACCGAGUCUGAACAGGGCGAAUGAAGUUAGUGGCCAUAGACCCGAAACCAUGUGACCUAGCCAUGAGCAGGAUGAAGUGGAGGUAAAGCUCCAUGGAGGUCCGAACGCACGUUCGUUGCAAUGACCGGCGAUGACUUGUGGCUAGCGGUGAAAUUCCAAUCGAACUUGGAGAUAGCUGGUUCUCCCCGAAAUAGCUUUAGGGCUAGCGUUGGGAAUGAGUUUAGCGGAGGUAAAGCACUGAAUGAGCUAGGGGGCGCAAGCUUACUGAACUCUAUCAAACUAAGAAUGCCGCAUAAAUGCUUCCCAGCAGUCAGACUGCGAGUAAUAAAAUCCGUGGUCAAAAGGGUAACAGCCCAGACCCACAGCUAAGGUCCCCAAUACAUGCUAAGUGGAAAACGAUGUGAGAUUGCAUAAACAACCAGGAUGUUGGCUUAGAGGCAGCCACUCGUUCAAAGAGUGCGUAAUAGCUCACUGGUCGAGUGAUCUUGCGCGGAAAAUUUAACGGGGCUAAGCAUGUAACCGAAGCUUGGGAUUGCGCGAAAGCGCAGUGGUAGGGGAGCGUCGUGUACGGGGUGAAGUACGAUCGAGAGGACGUGUGGACUGUACACGAGUGAGAAUGCCGGAAUGAGUAGCGAGAAUUAUGUGGGAAUCAUAAUGGCCGAAAAUCUAAGGUUUCUUGGGGAAGGUUCGUCCGCCCAAGGUAAGCCGGGAGCUAAGGCGAGGCCGAAAGGCGUAGUCGAUGCACAUACGGUUGAAAUUCCGUAGCCACCUUAUCGAUAAAAGCUGACACAUAGAGAUAGCCGAACCCGGGCGUUGGUUGACCCGGGCGAAAGGGACCGAACUACAGUAGGGAAGUCGGCGAUGCUCUGUGGCGAGAAAAGGCGAAGGUAGGGUGCCCGUACCGCAAACCGACACAGGUAGAUGAGGAGAGAAUCCUAAGGCCAACGGGAGAAGGGUUGUUAAGGAACUCGGCAAAUUGACCCCGUAACUUCGGGAGAAGGGGAGCCUCCUACGGGAGGCCGCAGUGAAUAGGCCCAAGCAACUGUUUACCAAAAACACAGGUCUCUGCUAAAUCGAAAGAUGACGUAUAGGGGCUGACGCCUGCCCGGUGCUGGAAGGUUAAGAGGAGGACUUAGCGCAAGCGAAGGUCUGAAUUUAAGCCCCAGUAAACGGCGGCCGUAACUAUAACGGUCCUAAGGUAGCGAAAUUCCUUGUCAGGUAAGUUCUGACCCGCACGAAUGGCGUAACGAUCUGGGCACUGUCUCAACAGCCCGCCCGGCGAAAUUGUAGUACCGGUGAAGAUGCCGGUUACCCGCAACUAGACGGAAAGACCCCAUGGAGCUUUACUGCAGCUUAAUACUGAGAUUCGGUAAUUCAUGUACAGGAUAGGUGGGAGACUUAGAAGCAGAGUCGUUAGGCGCUGUGGAGUCACCCUUGGGAUACCACCCUUGGAUUGCUGGGUUUCUAACCUGCGGCCAUGAAUCUGGUCGGGGGACACUGUUAGGCGGGCAGUUUGACUGGGGCGGUCGCCUCCUAAAAUGUAGCGGAGGCGCUCAAAGCUUGGCUCAGCAUGGAUGGAAAUCAUGCAAUGAGUGUAAACGUAUAAGCCAAGUUGACUGCGAGACCGACGGGUCGAGCAGGUACGAAAGUAGGAGUUAGUGAUCCGGUGGUAUGUGAGUGGAAAUGCCAUCGCUCAACGGAUAAAA